rnacentral:tRNA from 1 species
GUGGUCGUAGCUCAAUUGGUAGAGCUCCUGGUUGUGGUCCAGGCGGUUUGUGGGUUCGAGUCCCAUCGAUCACC